rnacentral:rRNA from 1 species
CCUACGGGAGGCAGCAGUAGGGAAUUUUCCGCAAUGGGCGAAAGCCUGACGGAGCAAUACCGCGUGAGGGAUGACGGCCUGUGGGUUGUAAACCUCUUUUCUCAAGGAAGAAGUUCUGACGGUACUUGAGGAAUAAGCAUCGGCUAACUCUGUGCCAGCAGCCGCGGUAAUACAGAGGAUGCAGGCGUUAUCCGGAAUCACUGGGCAUAAAGCGUCUGUAGGUUGUUUAGUAAGCCUGCUGUUAAAGACUGGGGCUUAACCCCAGAAAAGCAGUGGAAACUGCUAGACUCGAGUGUGGUAGAGGUAGAGGGAAUUCCUAGUGUAGCGGUGAAAUGCGUAGAUAUUAGGAAGAACACCAAUGGCGAAGGCACUCUACUGGGCCAUAACUGACACUGAGAGACGACAGCUAGGGGAGCAAACGGGAUUAGAUACCCCGGUAGUCCUAGCCGUAAACGAUGGAUACUAGAUGUUGCACGUAUUAACCCGUGCAGUAUCGUAGCUAAGGCGUUAAGUAUCCCGCCUGGGAAGUACGCUCGCAAGAGUGAAACUCAAAGGAAUUGACGG